AACAGGAACAAUAUUUCGGGACGCCGGAGGAAACCCGGCAGCUGAUCCACUUUCUGGGCUGAAAACGAGCAGAAGUUUCUGCGUUCAUGUUGUAGCCAUUCAUUAUUGUAUUGGUACUGUAUUAUUGUAAACGUGUAAUUCAUUCCUGUUCAUG